rnacentral:lncRNA from 1 species
AUGCAUUCUUUAGUUGUAUAAUUUUUAUCCUUUUUCUCAGCGCUGAAAAAACAGAAAAUGGAUCUGCUGAAGCAGCUGAAGAGAUGUGAUGCUGAGCUUUCAUGGGAAAAGAAAUAUAAGUAAGCUUCGCAGAAAGUUAUAAAUGUUCUGAAAACAUGAAAUUUUGUGUUUGUUGGUUAAUGUUGUUGUAAGGUACAGCAUAGAUGCAAUUUUGUUAGAGUUACAGGCAGAAUAAUUUGAAGUCCAAAGGCUUGGUCAUGUACAUGAAUUCCUCAAUAUUUUAUUGAACUUUAUUUUUUAGUUGGCAUGGAUUCUUAAAGUGAUUAUCUUCAGACUUCUAAGAUAUAGAAGUUCUCGAUACACAUACUUUGUCUAUUAUUGUAUAAUACACUUGUGGUAUUGUUUUGUAGACAGUCUAUGGAAGUUCAAUUUAUGACUCAAUGGAUUAUCCUGUUCUUGUUUUAUGGUGUCUUAUGCAACAAGAUAGUUGCUUUUCCGUAGGAAUUGCAAAUGUUUGUAUCAAGUUGGAUCGUAGGAGGAUUUGCUUGCUUUUUGAGGUGCUUAAUUUCUUGUAAGUGAAAAUAUCUUGUAUUUUGUUUAUUUGUCAUGGUACAUCAAGUUGACAUAUUGCUUCUGAGUUAUUUGUUCCUGCUUCUCCUUGUAGAAAGACAAGUAAAAUUGAAAUUGAUUCUCAUUACCUCAUUUGAGUCAACAUAUAUGUAACAAGAGAUGGA